CCUACGGGCGGCAGCAGUGAGGAAUAUUGGUCAAUGGACGAGAGUCUGAACCAGCCAAGUAGCGUGAGGGAUGACUGCCCUAUGGGUUGUAAACUUCUUUUAUAAAGGAAUAAAACGAGGCACGUGUGCCUUUUUGCGUGUACUUUAUGAAUAAGGAUCGGCUAACUCCGUGCCAGCAGCCGCGGUAAUACGGAGGAUCCGAGCGUUAUCCGGAUUUAUUGGGUGUAAAGGGAGCGUAGAUGGGUUGGUAAGUCAGUUGUGAAAGUUUGCGGCUCAACCGUAAAAUUGCAAUUGAUACUGGCAGUCUUGAGUACAGGUGAGGUAGGCGGAAUUCGGGGUGUAGCGGUGAAAUGCGUAGAUAUCACGAAGAACCCCGAUUGCGAAGGCAGCUUACUAAACUGUGACUGACAUUGAUGCUCGAAAGUGUGGGUAGCAAACAGGAUUAGAUACCCCAGUAGUC
rnacentral:rRNA from 1 species